rnacentral:lncRNA from 1 species
GGGCAGUGGUGGGUAAGUGGGUGGCUUCACUGGGGGCAGAGGACUGACAGGAGUUGGUGGAGUGGGUGGCUUGACAACUGGAGCUGGUGGUGGAGUGGGCGGCUUGAUCACUGGAACUGGUGAUGGACUGGGUGGCUUGAUUACUGGAACAGGUGGUGGACUGGGUGGCUUAAUCACUGGAAGAGGUGGUGGACUGGGUGGCUUGAUCACUGGAACAGGUGGAGCUGGAGCCUUGACCAGGGGUGGUGGAGCCGGUGCCUUGACUAUUGGAAGCUUAGGAGGAGCUGGUGCAGGUACUAGGACUUUGGAAUAAGCAGCCUGAAAUUAAUUAAAUUUACCACAUUGAAGGUCAAAAACACUCUCAAG